GUGGCCUUAGUUCAUCGGGUAGAACCUCUGGUUGUGAUCCAGAAGGUGGCGGGUUCGAGUCCCGCAGGUCACCCCA
rnacentral:tRNA from 1 species